GAGCUAGUAGCUCAGCUUGGUUAGAGCGACGGACUCUUAAUCCGCGAGUUCGAAUCUCGUCUAGCUCA
rnacentral:tRNA from 1 species